rnacentral:rRNA from 1 species
UGGGGAAUCUUGGACAAUGGGCGAAAGCCUGAUCCAGCCAUGCCGCGUGAGUGACGAAGGUCUUCGGAUUGUAAAGCUCUUUUGGCGGGGACGAUAAUGACGGUACCCGCAGAAUAAGCCCCGGCUAACUUCGUGCCAGCAGCCGCGGUAAUACGAAGGGGGCUAGCGUUGUUCGGAAUUACUGGGCGUAAAGCGCACGUAGGCGGAUUUGUAAGUCAGGGGUGAAAUCCCGGGGCUCAACCUCGGAACUGCCCUUGAUACUGCAAAUCUCGAGUCCGAUAGAGGUGAGUGGAAUUCCUAGUGUAGAGGUGAAAUUCGUAGAUAUUGGGAAGAACACCAGUGGCGAAAGGCGGCUAACUGGUCCGGUACUGACGCUGAGGUGCGAAAGCGUGGGGAGCAAACAGGAUUAGAUACCCCUGUAGUCCCUGAGCGGGCUGGCAAGGCGCAU